AACGCGAAGAACCUUACCUACUCUUGACAUCCAGAGAACUUUCCAGAGAUGGAUUGGUGCCUUCGGGAACUCUGAGACAGGUGCUGCAUGGCUGUCGUCAGCUCGUGUUGUGAAAUGUUGGGUUAAGUCCCGCAACGAGCGCAACCCUUAUCCUUUGUUGCCAGCGGUUCGGCCGGGAACUCAAAGGAGACUGCCAGUGAUAAACUGGAGGAAGGUGGGGAGGACGUCAAGUCAUCAUGGCCCUUACGAGUAGGGCUACACACGUGCUACAAUGGCGUAUACAAAGAGAAGCGACCUCGCGAGAGCAAGCGGACCUCAUAAAGUACGUCGUAGUCCGGAUUGGAGUCUGCAACUCGACUCCAUGAAGUCGGAAUCGCUAGUAAUCGUAGAUCAGAAUGCUACGGUGAAUACGUUCCCGGGCCUUGUACACACCG
rnacentral:rRNA from 1 species